GGUUCGAUGGUGUAGUUGGUUAUCACGUCUGUCUCACAGCUCCUCUCACGAGGACGGGUGCACAGGAGGUCUCCGGUUCGAGCCCGGAUCGAACCA